AUUGAACGCUGGCGGCAGGCCUAACACAUGCAAGUCGAGCGAAGCGGCGGAUGGGUGAGUAACGCGUGGGUAACCUGCACUUAAGUCUGGGAUACCAUUUGGAAACAGAUGCUAAUACCGGAUACUGAAGGAUGGACCUGCGAUGCAUUAGCUAGUUGGUAAGGUAACGGCUUACCAAGGCGAUGAUGCCGAGCCGUGUUGAGAGGCUGAUCGGCCACAUUGGGACUGAGACACGGCCCAAACUCCUACGGGAGGCAGCAGUAGGGAAUAUUCCACAAUGGACGAAAGUCUGAUGGAGCAACGCCGCGUGAGUGAAGAAGGUUUUCGGAUCGUAAAGCUCUUUUGUUGGUGAAGCGGUAAUCAACCAGAAAGUCCCGGCUAACUACGUGCCAGCCGCCGCGGUAAUAC
rnacentral:rRNA from 1 species